CACGUAGGGCGCAAGCGUUGUCCGGAAUUACUGGGCGUAAAGCGUGCGUAGACGGUAGCGUAAGUCAGAUGUGAAAGCCCCGGGCUCAACCUGGGAAUUGCAUUUGAGACUGCUCUGCUCGGGUGCGGAAGAGGGAAGCGGAAUUUCCGGUGUAGCGGUGAAAUGCGUAGAUAUCGGAAGGAACACCAGUGGCGAAAGCGGCUUCCUGGUCCGACACCGACGUUCAGGCACGAAAGCGUGGGGAGCAAACAGG
rnacentral:rRNA from 1 species